rnacentral:rRNA from 1 species
AUUGAACGCUGGCGGAAUGCUCUACACAUGCAAGUCGAACGGCAGCACGGGUGCUUGCACCUGGUGGCGAGUGGCGAACGGGUGAGUAAUAUAUCGGAACGUACCCAGUAAUGGGGGAUAACUAACCGAAAGGUUAGCUAAUACCGCAUACGCCCUGAGGGGGAAAGCGGGGGAUCGAAAGACCUCGCGUUAUUGGAGCGGCCGAUAUCUGAUUAGCUAGUUGGUGGGGUAAAGGCCCACCAAGGCGACGAUCAGUAGCUGGUCUGAGAGGAUGAGCAGCCACCCUGGAACUGCGACACGGUCCAGACUCCUACGGGAGGCAGCAGUGGGGAAUUUUGGACAAUGGGCGAAAGCCUGAUCCAACCAUUCCGCGUGAGUGAAGAAGGCCUUCGGGUUGUAAAGCUCUUUCGGCAGGGAAGAAACGGUCUAGGUUAAUACCUUGGGCUAAUGACGGUACCUGAAGAAGAAGCACCGGCUAACUACGUGCCAGCAGCCGCGGUAA